CAGCCGCGGCCGAGCGACCCCCGCUGAUUGGGCAGCCGCCGGGUGCCUGGCAGGUGAGGCGGCGGCUGCCGGGCGGCCGCGAGUGGGCUCCACCGGGCUUGAGUGGCUGCGGGGAACUGGGGCCAGGCUCCAGCCGGCAAACGGCGGGACGCCGCCGGGACUCUCGCGGGCUUUCCCCCACCCCUCGCGGGCUCUUUGCCCCGCGAGGAUCGGUCCCACUGCUGCGCCGAUGGAGGAGACGCGGCGCUCAACGUCCAGUCCUGCUUGGGCCCCCGCUGCCUCACCACCUUGAGAACAUGUCCCCUCUGUAGCUGCAGGGCGCAGAUCCUGGGGAGAGCGCAGCAGUUUCGCGCUCCCGGUCCAGCCGCUGCGUCCACCUCCAAUCACUGCGAGUUCUGAUGGCCUCGAGGCCGGGACCCAGGCCGGGAUAGUUCGCCGUUUGUGCCCCCAACCUGUCGGCAGCUGUCCGAGACCCAAAGGAGAAGAAACGAUUACAAUUAGAGCUGAUCUCCGUUACUUCCGUCUGCGCCAAGCGUUGACCCUUUAGUUUGUGAGCAGCGGCCGUACUCGCCGCUGCCCACUUCCCGAAUUACACACCGGGCACGACACAGCAAACAUAUACAACGCAGUAAACCCAAGCACACAGUAGGAAACAAGCACACAACACAGUAAACACAAGCGCACCACAGGAAACAAACACGACAUAUGAAAUACGCACACAACACAACAAAGUAAGCACAUACAACACAGUAACAUAAACUACGCACAACACAGCAAACACAGAAACACAACUAAACACAACAGAGCAAAUACACAUAACAGCGAGCAUACCCACAAAUACAAAACAUGCAAAGAACACUUUUAGCCAGUGUACGCAAAACAUGCACACAACACACUAAACACAUAAUAAACACACUAGACACACACAGUAUCAGGGUGGUUUCCAAAUCACUAGGCUAAUCAGCUUUGAAUUCUCAACAUUUUCAAAUGCAAAAGUCGUGUUGGGGGUUGCUGAUGCUGAAUGGGGACUGUGACAUGGAAUUUUCUUUCCUCUGAACAGCCAAGGCUUUACUCUCUUCUACUCCUACCCGGAGAAGGUAAAGCAUGUAGUGACCUCAGGGACUGCUUACCCCUUAAGGAUUUACUUCCAGGGGUGUGUGUGAAAGUCCUCUCGCCUUCUGUCUGUUGCAAGGUCUUUCUGACAUAAUGACCAGGUUCAGACAAGGCUAUAAAUUCACUCAUUUUUGUGUCCUGCAAGGCAUUUGCAAAGAAUGCAGAAGAGAGUGGAAAGAAAAGGCAGAGAGAAAGAUGGCUGUGAUUGUCACAUCCCUAGCUGGGCCAAGCCCCAAAGUCUGCGCCUUGAGGCAGCCUCACAGCCUGGCCGCCAUCUCUCUGUAGGAAAUAGAACAUCUGAUCAAGUUCAGAGGCGCCAGGAGAGACCGCCUUAAGCAGCGCUUUAUAACUGCAGCCUUUCACUUCCUGCUCCCCAGUCUGCCUGGCCCAGCCAACACUUCACCUUCUUUCUUAGCCAGUUUGCUGGGAGAACACCCUACCGGUAGCACAUCUUACCGUAUUCACCCCCUCCCAUCAAACUCGCCCCAAUUCUCUCUCCACAUCCAGAGCUCUCUCCCCAGGUUGGAAGGUCCUUCCCCAGACACCUGAAGAGAUGGGGGAAGGAGAAUCAAUUUGGAGAGCCAAGUUUGCCUGACAUUUUGGAGCACACAUUUACCCAGGACCCCAAGUUCCUUGUAGCUGCUAAAUGCUGUACUAGUUCUAAAAUGUAAAUUAGCUUCAAGGCAAGUGGAGAGAAGCCUUAGACUAUUCUGAGAUAUUUGUUCAUUCAUUUCUUUGCUUUGAGAAAGAAUCCUCCCAACGUGAUGGGAAAGAUAUCUCUGGGCCACAUUAUGGCUUCUGGCAGCAACUCUCAUCCUUAGUGCCUAGAUCUGGAGCCCCCACCAACCCUUUGUCCCCAAGUUACAUUUCCUUAGUCCAGGCCUAUUCCACCAUUUCAUCUUCUUUCUCCCUUCCUCGCUGAGGGGCAGAGGCCGCCUUUCUUUUGCCCAAGCUGAGAGGGAGAAUUCCUGAUCCCUAGGAAAAAUGCUGUCUCCACUCCCAAGGAACUUUGUGUAGUUUAGGAAUUGCAUUUUGUAAAAUCAAAUUGCCUGUUGCAAUUUGCACUUGGUUUGUGGUUAUUCAUCUAGUUAUUUCCUAGUGAGGGGGUGGGAGGAAAGGGCUUUGACAUUAAAACAAAGCAUAGGGCCUCCCUUUCCUCCCUUUUUUCUUUCCCCACCAACAAGAUAGAGUGGGAGUGAAUUAGACUAACUGCUGGUUUGGACGUGAAUGGCAGACUAUGGUCUGCAAACUGGAGGCCAAAUCUGGCCCAUAGCCUGUUGUAUUUGUAUGGCCCCAGGAGCCAAGAAUGGUUUUAUUUUAUUUUAUUUUUAAAACAUCUUUAAAGGGUUAGAGAGCAGAAGUAGAAAAAGAAGGACAAAAAAGGGGGGGAAUUUAUGCUACAGAUACUGAAUGUGGUUUGAAAACCCUAAAAUAAUAUUUUAUAUCUGGCCCUUUACAGAAAAAGUUUGCCGACCCCUGGACUAGGGGUUGGACUGUAGUGUCAGCAGAGGCUAGGUAUUCUUGACCAGUAGAUUUUAUCCACCAUCACCCUCCUAGAUUUCCAGCUUCAUUUUGCAUAUGGCUUGAUUUUUUUUCCCCCAGCCCCACAUCUCAGUUAUUUUUGGGGAUACUUUUGGCUUUGGAGAAAGGGAAAAAGUAGUCAAGGGAGGAGGAGUCUCAGGAGAAAGAAGGGAUGAGAAGAGAGGAAAAAGAGUUGUGAAUAUCUCAAUCAGUGACUAGGUGACCUCUGACCCUGAGGGUGGUUUUAUUGUCUUUCUUCUUUGGCUAGAGAUACACAGUUUAUUGACCCUUUCUGCGUGACUGAGCCCUCAGGGGCAACGACAGCUCCAAACCAAGCCAGGCAUGUGAGGCCAGGAAGCCUGAGGGAAGUGACCCCAAUUCCCUAGGCCUGAGGGGGUUGGAGGGACAGAGAGAUGGACUCCCUCCCAACUCAACUGCCCCUCCUCAGUGAGGGCCUAGCGUUCACCCAGCUCCUCUUCUUGCCCAGAAACGCUACCCUCCCUUUCUUCCCAGGACAAAUGCCAUCAGCUGGUAGACUUGGGCAAAACAUUUAUGCUCCUUCUCUGCACUCUUCCCCUUUAAACUAUAAAGAUAUGUUAUUAUAAAGAUUCCAGGGUGGGCCAGGCAUGGUGGCUCACGCCUGUAAUCCCAGCACAUUGGGAGGCCUAGGUGAGUGGAUCACUUGAGGUCAGGAGUUCAAGACCAGCCUGGCCAACAUGGUGAAAC
rnacentral:lncRNA from 10 species